rnacentral:rRNA from 1 species
UACGUAGGGGGCAAGCGUUGUCCGGAUUUAUUGGGCGUAAAGAGCGUGUAGGCGGCCACACAGGUCCGUUGUGAAAACUCGAGGCUUAACCUCGAGACGUCGAUGGAAACCGUAUGGCUAGAGUCCGGAAGAGGAGAGUGGAAUUCCGGGUGUAGCGGUGGAAUGCGUAGAGAUCCGGAAGAACACCGGAGGCGAAGGCGGCUUGCUGGGCGUGAUCUGACGCUGAGGCGCGAAAGCGUGGGGAGCGAACAGG